UCAUCCAGCAGAAGUUGGGUUCUCAAAGACUAAAGCCUGCAGUGAUCAAGAGCUUGAGGACUCUGCAGUCCAAGCCAGAGAGGAUGUUUGUGAUCAUGACUGGAGAGUUGGAAAAUGAAUGCAAGUUGGCGUUUGUUUCUCCUUGCAGCAUGGCAGAAGCUGAAAGGAACCUCUGGCCAUCAUCUGGUCCCACCCACCCUUGAUCAAGCUGGACCACCAUGAGCUGCGUAUCCAGGACUGUGCUCAGAAGUUUGAGUACCUCCAACACUGGAGACUCCACAGCCUCUCCAGGCAACCUAUGCCAGUGCUCAAACCAGCUUGACGUAAAGAAAGUGUUCCCUGCUUUUCAGAGGGAGCCUCCUGUGCUUCAGUGUGUGCCCACUGCUCCAGUGCUGCCACCAGGCACCACUGGAAAGAGCCUGGCUCCAUCCUCUUUGCAUCCUGCCCGCUGGAUGUUUAUCUACAUUGAUGAGAUCCUGCCUGAGCCUUCCCUUCUCUGCGUUGUCCUUCCAGGAGAUGUCAGGGUGGUUGAAGUCUCCGAUGAGGACCAGAGCCUGGGACUCAAAAUCUGAGUUUAGACACAGGAGGGAUGAGGAGGACCAGAAUUUUAUCACCAUCUUCUCAUUUUGCAUCACACUUCAGUAUCUUCACCCAUCAAACCACUUUUCAUUCUACAACAACAUGCUUCUUUAUCAAAGUCUUCAGUAUGGAUUCUGAACAUAUUUCAUGAAAUGUGCUGAGUAAAGUUCAGCUUUGCUCCAGAGAGACACUGCUUUGCUGCAGAGAGUCAAGGAUAGUACAAAAACAGUGGAUCUUUUCCCCCUUUUUGCACCAAUCAUUUUGGAAUUGUUACCAUUGGAAGCUUUCAAUUUAAAUCUUUAUAUUUAAGAAUGAGAGCAUUCACAAACACACAGGGAAGAGCUUGUGUUUUUUGUACAACUUAUAAAGAAAUGGAAAGUAACAACCACAAGUCUUUAAAGGAAGAGGAUGGAUGGAAUGGAUGGAUGAAUGGAUGGAUGGCCAAAUAAAAAGGGAAAGGAACAAUCAGUACUUGAA